rnacentral:rRNA from 1 species
GACGAACGCUGGCGGCGUGCUUAACACAUGCAUGUCGAACGGAAAGGCCCUGCUUUUGUGGGGUGCUCGAGUGGCGAACGGGUGAGUAACACGUGAGUAACCUGCCCUUGACUUUGGGAUAACUUCAGGAAACUGGGGCUAUACCGGAUAGGAGCUCCUGCUGCAUGGUGGGGGUUGGAAAGUUUCGGCGGUUGGGGAUGGACUCGCGGCUUAUCAGCUUGUUGGUGGGGUAGUGGCUUACCAAGGCUUUGACGGGUAGCCGGCCUGAGAGGGUGACCGGCCACAUUGGGACUGAGAUACGGCCCAGACUCCUACGGGAGGCAGCAGUGGGGAAUAUUGCACAAUGGGCGGAAGCCUGAUGCAGCAACGCCGCGUGCGGGAUGACGGCCUUCGGGUUGUAAACCGCUUUCGCCUGUGACGAAGCGUGAGUGACGGUAAUGGGUAAAGAAGCACCGGCUAACUACGUG